UAGCUACAGUCCAAACUGUAUAAGGGGUUUAUCCUGUUCGUUAAAGCCAAAGCGGAGAUAUAAGACACACAGAGCGACAGAGACACUCUACCGGCGUGUUUUAAAAAUGUCGUUACCUCUGUGUGUACGUGUGUGUUUGUGUGUGUGUGUGUGUUUGUGUGUGUGUGUGUGUAUGUGUGUGUCGUUUGGAUACCUUCUGUCUCCAGGGGAAACCUGUCACCUGCUCCACAUCCAGGUUAUCCUGUGUCUGCAGCACCACACAGGACGGUGAAGACACAACCAUUGCACACCUCCAGUUGCACGUCAACGUCUCUCUGGGUCUCCUCCAUUGUUUGCAAAAGGCCAGUUAGCAUCUGACCAUAUCCUGUUGUUUCUGUGGGUGCACGUACUUGGCUUUAAGCUGCACUUACAACCUUUCUUCACCUAUAUGCUCAGGCCAGCGAGGUAAAGUGGUCAAGAGAGAAAGAAUUAAGUUAAGAGGCCUAUCAAUGUACCUCAGGGCCGUCUUUCUCUAGUAGCUUUAAGGAGACUAGCAGGGCUUUUUGCUGCUCUUGCUGAGAGUCACUGACACCAGCCUCUAAACCUAAAUCCUAAUUGUGUCUGCCAACACGCUGACGAUCCACUAUUCAACCUCCUCUAAGUAUCAGACGUCUGUAUUUGUGAUUCAUCAGGCCAUUUUGUUUUAUUAACAAUUUCUUUUAUUUUAAACUUUUUGAACGUUUCAAGUUUUAUUAGUCAUAUGUUAACACAGGGUCAGCGGUACAAUGAAACGUGUUGAGAGAAGGACAGGGCAGCUCAGCAAUGCAAUAAGUCAAUGUCAUAGAGAAUAUAAUGUAAAAAAAAGAUCAUUUAAAAUAAAGUCAAAAAAUCUCAAUAUAAAAAAUCUAAUUCAAUUCUACAUUAGAGGAUGAAGGUCAAAUAAAGCUGCAAUAUGUCAAUUUUCUCUGCCUUUGAAAGGACAGUGCUGGUGAUCACCUGCCAAGAGCUUCAUCCAUUGUUGUGUUUAUAAGAGGAGAGGUUAUAAUACACAAUUUAUAAUGAGCAGUGCUUUUUCUUCAGCGGGGACUGGACGAUACAGUGACUCACUAUUGUAAAGUUAUGAUAUGGUCUGACCAGGCUGGGACAAGCUGUUAAGUGUAUGCAAACUUCAGUAGAUUGAUGUGAUGCAAACAGUGAUUGCCUUGCAGGUAAGUAAGAAUGAAAACAACUUCCUAAAUGAAUAAAUUUAGAAUAUUAGAAUGAUAUAUAACAGCUUCAUUUGAUGUAGUGUCGAUCCUAAGAAGCAAUAGGAUUUAUGUGCAUUUUAUUCCCACAGUGUGCUUUAAAUUAAAUAAAAGUUGACUCACA